UUAAGUUCAGCGGGUAUCCCUACCUGAUCCGAGGUCAACCAUAGAAAGUUGGGGGUUGUUGGCAAACGUCCACCGGGACCCUAUAGCGAGAGAAAUUACUACGCUUAGAGCCAGAUGGCGCCGCCACUGAUUUUAAGGGCUGCCAGGAGGCAGGCCCCAACACAAGCUGAGCUUGAGGGGUUAUAAUGACGCUCGAACAG
rnacentral:misc_RNA from 1 species